rnacentral:rRNA from 1 species
AACGGGUGAGUAAUGCGUGACCAACCUGCCCCAUGCUCCAGAAUAGCUCUUGGAAACGGGUGGUAAUGCUGGAUGCUCCAACUUGACGCAUGUCUUGUUGGGAAAGUGUUUAGUGGCAUGGGAUGGGGUCGCGUCCUAUCAGCUUGUAGGCGGGGUAAUGGCCCACCUAGGCUUCGACGGGUAGCCGGCCUGAGAGGGCGGACGGCCACAUUGGGACUGAGAUACGGCCCAGACUCCUACGGGAGGCAGCAUU